rnacentral:rRNA from 1 species
AUUCGGAUUGGAGUCUGCAACUCGACUCCAUGAAGCUGGAUUCGCUAGUAAUCGCGCAUCAGCCAUGGCGCGGUGAAUACGUUCCCGGGCCUUGUACACACCGCCCGUCAAGCCAUGGGAGUCGGGAGUGCCUGAAGUUCGUGACCGUCACAGGAGCGACCUAAGGCAAGACCGAUGGCUGGGGCUAAGUCGUAACAAGGUACC